rnacentral:tRNA from 1 species
UCCGUGAUAGUUUAAUGGUCAGAAUGGGCGCCUGUCACGUGCCAGAUCGGGGUUCAAUUCCCCGUCGCGGAGCCA